GACGAACGCUAGCGGCGUGCUUAACACAUGCAAGUCGUACGGUAAGGCCCUUUCGGGGGUACACGAGUGGCGAACGGGUGAGUAACACGUGAGUAACCUGCCCACAUCUUUGGGAUAACGCUUGGAAACUGGUGCUAAUACUCGAUAUUUUCUUCUUCUGCAUGGUUGGUGUUUGAAAACUCCGGCGGUUGUGGAUGGACUCGCGCCCUAUCAGCUUGUUGGUGGGGUAGCGGCCUACCAAGGCGGCGACCGUUAGACGGCCUGAGAGGGUGACCGGACACACUGAGAAGGAGAUAAGGGCCAGAAGCAGACGGGAAGAAGGAGUGAGGAAUAAUGCACAAUGGGAGCAAGCCUGAGGCAACAACGACGGGCGUGGGGUGACGGACUUCGGGUUGUAAACCGCUUACAGCAGGGACGAGGCUGUAUGUGAAGGUACCUGACGAAGAAGCACCGGCUAACUACGUG
rnacentral:rRNA from 1 species